UAGUUCACACAGUUACAUCUCGCGCUCCUUCUCAAUGGACGCCCGCGGUUGGCAGGUGAGCAGCGAGCACGUAUACACGCGCACGACUCUCGCAUCAUACACGUCUCCGACGUGGGUAAUGGGAUUCCUCCAUUCCCGUGGACGCCGAGGAGACGAGAAGAUAAAGGACACGACGAGAAUCGAUGAAAGAGGUCUUUACAAUGGCGAGCGAGCGAGAGAAAGA